CCUUGCCUUUACUCGUGUGGCCAAAAGCCACCUCCCUCAACCUCGUAGUGUCCCUGUUGCGGACCCACCCGCAAGUCUCACUACCAGCAGCCACAGGAAACAGCAACAGCUUCCAACCCGAAUCCUGUAUAGCCUAAAGAAUUGGAAUCUUACCUGUCUCAGCGCUUGAGACUGGAAUUUUACCAAGAAGAAGUGUCUGAUGAGGCUAGCUAAGCGGUCAA